UACGUAGGUGGCAAGCGUUGUCCGGAUUUACUGGGCGUAAAGAGCGCGCAGGCGGUCGUUCAAGUCGCGUGUGAAAGCCCCCGGCUCAACUGGGGAGGGUCACGCGAUACUGAUCGACUCGAAGGCAGGAGAGGGUAGUGGAAUUCCCGGUGUAGUGGUGAAAUGCGUAGAUAUCUGGAGGAAUACCGGUGGCGAAGGCGGCAUCCUGGACCGGCAUUGACGCUGAGGAGCGAAAGCUAGGGGAGCAAACGGG
rnacentral:rRNA from 1 species